UUGUAAGUAUAUAAUAAUUACGAAAGCAAAAAAUUAUGGCGGUAUUUUAAGCUUUUCAGAGGAAUUUGCUCUUUAAUGGAUAAAACACCUAAAUCUUACUUAAAUUUGUUAAAUCAACUUGUAUACCACUAUUAAAACAAUUAUUAACUCUAAUUGUUAAUAUUUAAAAACAUAAAUUAAUUUAAAUUAAGUCAAGGUGCAGUAAAAAUUUAAGAAUGAAGUGAAUUACAUUACUUUUAAGAGAAAUAAAAUUAAAUAAAAUUUAGGAUUUGAAAGUAAAAUUAAAAUAGAAUGUUAAUUUGAAUUAAGCUCUAAAAUAUGUACACAUCGCCCGCGCCUCUCAUU
rnacentral:rRNA from 1 species